rnacentral:rRNA from 1 species
UACGGGGGGGGGGCAAGCGUUUGUUCGGAAUUACUGGGCGUAAAGGGUUUGUAGGUGGCUUGUUAAGUCAGACGUGAAAUCCCUCAGCUUAACUGGGGAACUGCGUCUGAGACUGGUGAGCUUGAGUGCAGGAGAGGAACGCGGAAUUCCAGGUGUAGCGGUGAAAUGCGUAGAUAUUGGGAGGAACACCAGUGGCGAAGGCGGUCCCCUGGGCCGGAACUGACGCUGAGGCGCGAAAGCGUGGGGGAGCAAACAGG